rnacentral:rRNA from 1 species
AGGGCUUGACAUCUAACAAAUCUAUUGGAAACAAGAGAGUGCUCUUCGGAGAAUGUUAAGACAGGUGGUGCACGGUUGUCGUCAGCUCGUGUCGUGAGAUGUUGGGUUAAGUCCCGCAACGAGCGCAACCCACGUCGUUAGUUGGUGUUAAUGGUAUACUGUUAAAAACCUCUCUAGCGAGACUGCCGGUGAUAAACCGGAGGAAGGUGUGGACGACGUCAAAUCAUCAUGCCCCUUAUGCUCUGGGCUACACACGUGUUACAAUGGCCGGUACAAAGAGUCGCCAACUCGCGAGAGUGAGCAAAUCUCAUAAAGCCGGUCUCAGUUCGGAUUGCAGUCUGCAACUCGACUGCAUGAAGUCGGAAUCGCUAGUAAACGCAGAUCAGCACGCUGCGUUGAAUACGUUCCCGGGUC